AGUGAACGCUGGCGGCGUGCUUAACACAUGCAAGUCGAACGAGAACGGAUUAUAGCUUGCUAUAAUUGUCAGCUAAGUGGCGCACGGGUGAGGUAAUAUAUAGGUAACGUGCCCCAAAGAAGAGGAUAACAGAUGGAAACGCCUGCUAAGACUCUAUAUGCCUUUAUGACAUAAGUCAGCAAGGGAAUAUUUAUAGCUUUGGGAUCGGCCUGUACAGUAUCAGUUAGUUGGUGAGGUAAUGGCUCACCAAGACAAUGACGCUCAACUGGUUUCCGAGAGGAUGAUCAGUCACACUGGAACUGAGACACGGUCCAGACUCCUACGGGAGGCAGCAGUGGG
rnacentral:rRNA from 1 species